AAAUUUAGAUAAAUCUAAAUGAAGUAAAAUAGAUAUUUGAAUUUAUUAUCGAAUAAAGAACAACUAUCAAUAGGUCAGAACGUGUUUUGUCUUUAGGACAUUGAUCACAAAGUUUCAGAAAUGUAUGCUUCAUGACUUAUGUAUGUUGUCAAAAUGUGUUUUCAUGUAAUUGUACGUUUUAUGCAGUCCAUCAUGGCUUACAUCAGUGUGACACUAUUUACUAAAAGCUUACAUUUCCUCAAUGACAAUUACAUUAGAUACUAGUAAAUUCAUCUGACAUUUUUAAGUGCAAUGCCUUAAAUUUUGAGUAAUACUCCUCCCCAAUUUUUAUAGCAUGCAAAAAACUAAAGUAAUUUCUUAUAUGCUUAAGCUAUAAAAGCAAGAGAGAGCUGAAAUUGUUUACAUUGGACCACGCUUCAUUAUCAAUAUCUUUGGAUCUUCUCUCCAACUAUUUUGGCCUUCAGCAUGACUUAUGUAAAUUUAUAACUCAUUUUUUUUUUUUUGGGGGGGGGGGUAAAUUAUAGAUCAUUGCAUGAGGCGAAUGUCAUUUUGAUGUUUCAAAUAUAGGAAUGCUUCAUAAUACCGACCCCUGGACAUUAGCUGUAUCAAAAAACGGACUAAACACACUAACAUGAAGGCAUAAUAAAAAAGUGAUGAAAAUUUUAUUGAGGUUAAUAACAUCUGUUGCAAUAAUAGAAACAUAUCUUUAUUUUUCAAAUUUGUACAAGUUAAAACUAUUUUUGAGCAAUAUUUUGUACAGGUUAUAACAUGUACG
rnacentral:lncRNA from 1 species